AGGCUGUGGGGACGGGACGGGACGGGACGGGACGGGACAGGGCGCUGUGCUCCCGGGGGGCUCUGCCGCCGAGGUGGGGGGGUCCCUGGGCGCUGUACCCCGAGGUGAACGGGCAAAUGUCGGGGUGCCGCGGCCGUGUGUCCACACGGCAGGGGUCGUGCGGAGGGGGCCGAGCCCAGCCGAGCCGCGCCUGCCCCCUGCCGGGCCGCUGCCGCCGGGCGUGGCCGCCCCCCGCGGCUCCAGGUGCCGCCGCCUCCCGCCCACCAUUGUGCGGCGCCGCGCCCCGCUCGGCGGCAGUGGGCGGGCGGCCUCCGUCCCUCCGCCGCCCUCCUUCCCUCCCUCCCUCCUUCGCUUCCCUUCGCUUCUCCUCGGCCUCCGCCCUCCCCGGCGCCCCGACAGCCGCACAGGGAGGCGCCGGCAAUGGAGGGCGACGGGCUGGAGCCGGAGCCGGAGCCGGAGGUUGCCACAAAGAGUAUUGAAAGAGAGCUCAUCUGCCCAGCGUGCAAGGAGCUGUUCACCCACCCGCUGAUCCUGCCGUGUCAGCACAACGUCUGUCACAAAUGCGUGAAGGAAAUACUCUUCACACUUGAGGACUCUUUCGCUGAUGGGGGGUCUGAAUCCUCUAAUCAGAGCAGCCCUCGAAUCCGGAUCUCUUCUCCCAGCAUGGAUAGGAUUGACAGGAUUAGUAGAUCAGAUGGUGAUCGUUGUGUGGUUGAAGAACUGGAGGACUUGACUGUGAGAAGCAAGUGCUAGCAGCUUCUUUCAGCGUGGUCUGCCUGAGCCUUUAAGGAACACUUGGCUUGAGAAUUCAUAAUGCUCUUUGUGAUACCAUAAUAUACAGAUUUUGACUCUGCUCAGCUCUCUAAUCCGUCGGUAAUAUGAUCGGCUCUUACACAUACAUUGGAAGUACUUUGUGUGUGCUAUGCUGAACAGAAACCUCACCUUGGCUUUUAGGCUUCGUGCUGAAAAAGUCAUCUGCUAUAAAACCCCACUGCAGUGCUCUGGGAAGUCACUCGCAAGACACGCCCUAAAUCUGUAUCUUGCACUUCACAGAUCACAAACAAUCAUCUUCCCCUUCCCAAUUCUCAAAGUUCAAAAUCACUGUAUUCUCUUAAGCAACACUUAACUCAUUUAUACAGAUACUCUUUCCAAUGAGUCUAAGAAGCGAAUGCUGCGUCUGCCAUAGCUUGGCUGACUGGUGCUUAUACAAGGUGAAGGAAUCCCCAGAUGGGGUGGGCAGGUAUCCCCAUCCCAGCCCUGUUUUCAGGGAGUGGGAUGGGUAGCCCUGUGGUUGAUGUGGCCACUACACGCAGUGCACCCAGCCUUUGUAGCUGCGGCUUGACGCAAGCUUUGCCUGAAGGGGCUCCUGGCAGCCUGGGAGGUGGUCCUUUCUCCCCUGUCCAAACCUGCCUUCAGCUUGCUCCCCAUCAGCCAGUUUCAGCGAGGACCUGACACGCUGCGGUCCUUCCGUGGUGCAUGGCACAGCCCACACCCUGUGCACUGAAGGAGGCAGAGGCUCUGCUGAGAAGCUGACACUGAAUUACUGCAAGGAACCAAAUGCUGUCGCAUCCUCCUGUGUGGCUGUAGUGGAAGGGAGGAGCGAGGAAUCUCAGAGACUUGACAAUUAGGGUUUGAAGAAUAGAGUUUGCAGUUCUGCAGUAGUUGUUGACAGCCUUUUUCAUGAGGUUUUGUGUCACGGCUUUAUUACAUCCUUAACAGCAGGGUAGGAAAGACCCAUUUUUGGUGCUCCUGCCCCCUGAGAUCUGUGCAAUCAGUUUAUUGCAGGCGUUGUCCUCUUCAAAUCCACAGCUGUCCGCCACCGUCCCAACAAACUGAUCGGCAGUAAUGUGUGGUAUCUCCUGAACUGACCUGUUAGCUGAGGGAGAGAAAUGCUUUGCUAACAUCUUUGUCCCCGUUUGAUGAGCAGCAGGGGAGUGCUGGUCCCUCGAAAUAAUGGGCUUCACCCCGUUCCCCCAAAGAGCAUUGGGCAGAGGCACAUCAUAGGAGAAUUACCAUCCUAGACAGUUCAGAUUUGCAAAAUGAAAAGCAUAUGGAAAUGGGAGCUUUAAAGAACACAUUUGGACAUUCAGUUUAUGCUGUCUUUGCUUCUGAUGUUACAGGCAUUAUAGCUCUUUCACUCUGUGGAGUGUGAGCUCUGCCCUCACAGGUUUGGUACCGAUAACAUUCAUCCAGCUUGCAGCUUACAUUUGUACCACUCACAUCCUGCGUCUGAAGAAACUACAUCCCCUCGCUUAAUUCGUUCUGUGAUCCUCAGUGGGGUUGAUAAUGGAACAGUUUCAUAAGAGCACAGAGACACAAGGCAACAUCCAAAGUGGGGCUUCAUAUGUAUACCAAAAACCACAAGAAUUUCCCAUCGGGGUGUGCAGGGCAUGUCACUGUCUAGUCAUCACAUUUGACAACGUGUGACAUCUUUCUCCUGUUGUGUUUUUUUUUUCUUUCUUUCUUUUUUUUUUUUUCACAUAAGAAAUCCUUACUACCUGCAUGAGGAGUACAAUCUAUUAUAAAUGAUUUGGGCAUUUAAAUGCUUGAGUGCCAGAAAGAACUGGUCCACGUUCUGUGGUUUUUGUGCACGCACAACUUGCAUUUACAAGUACAGUUUAUCUUAAAAAGGCCACAACUCGUAGUUGAAAUGGAGUGUGUGUUCUUAAAAUCUAAUGUGCUGGUUAAAAAAACAACCUGUGUUGUAUAUAAAAUAAUUUUGACAAAAAAUUGCUGUAUACGAAAUGAAAAUGAAGGGUAUUACUGCUAAUCUGUCGUAAUGUUAGUGUAAUUAAAAUGUUGGUGUAGUUAGAAUAAAGCAUGUGAUGUGGUUAUGUUGACAGUUGUGUAGAAUUGAUGGGUGAUGCAGAAAUUGAAUGUUUGAAAUAGAUCUUUUUUCCUCUCCCGUCUCUUCUUUCUCCCUGUUUCUUUUCUGCCUAAAUGCUACAGCUGUGUCGUCAUUCUAGGAAAUUAAACACUCUUUCAUUUCAGCCCUGCAGUGUUUUAUCAGCUCCAGGAGGGAAAACAGUUGAUGCUCUUCAUUUAAGCCAUUGUAAACCAAUGGUAUAUCUCUUUUUUUUUUUUUUUCCCAAUUUCUUAACAGCUUUCUGUUCAUUGUUCGCAGCCUCACAGAGGAGGUCUUUUGGGUGGAGAGGUAGAAAUGCUUCACUUCUUGUAUUGGCUCUAGAUAGUUUAGUGUUUAACUCUAGAGUUAAAUAUUGUUGGUUAGCAUAUAGCUUUCUGUCAGUGGUCAAGUCCACAAAAUGGCUUUUGCAGUGAGCAAAGGUAAAGCAACAGACUUCUAUUAGGAAAGCUUUUCAUUCUGUUUAGCGCUGACUUAAAGGUCAACUGGACUGAAACUCAAUUAAGGGUUGUUUUUUUCGUGUGUGUAUGCAUGGCUAAACAUACUUUGAUAGGCGCAAGUAACAAAGGUUCUCUCUUCCCCUUAAAACAAAAAUACAGCAGCCAAUGCCUACAAUUUUUAAUUUUCAGGACUUUACACACUCAAGUUUCAGUGUCUUUCUAGUAGUGAAGUGUACUUAUUUUAUUGAUUGUUAACUAUUAAGAGGUCAUGGUUUGCUGUCACUUCUAAGUGGAAGGUAAAACCAGUUUUUCCCCAAAGAGCUCCCCCAAAAAAUUACCUUAGUCUUUCCCCAAAUGUUUUCGUGCUCAGUCUCAAUUCCUCCUGCCUCAUUUACACACAUACGGCAACUAAUAUUGAUUAAAGUGCAUCCUUCCCCUUGGGAGGCAAAUAAAAGGUCUAGUGCCUAAAACAGUGGCAGUUUUCCAGAAACAGGAAAAAAACUCUUGUAUCAGUUUAAGUUCUGCACAGUGCAUUAAAAAAUCCACUAGUCCAUGUGAUCAAAAUCUACAGAGCUCAAUUCUGAAGUGUGAACUCAUGUCAGCAGGCAAAUCUGUUUCCAGUAUAAGCUUACAGCUUAUAGAGACAAUUGCUUUUGUAUCCAUUCAUCUAUUAAGCAGAACUGUAAAAGCAUUUGUUGAAAUGGUUUGAUAGAAGUGUAUUAGAUUGUCUUAGAUUGUUGGCCUGCGAGAAUCUGAACGUAAAUUACAACUGCAGACUGAAGAACAGGAAACGAAGGUCAUAGACCAGGAAAAUAUAAUACGUGAAUUGGAAUCUGCACUUGAGCACAUCAAGUUGCAGUGUGACAGGCAGCUGACGCUACAACACAGAGAACAUGAGAAAAAACUACAGUUGAUACUGCAUCAUUUCAAGGAACAAGAUGGUGAAGGUAUUGCAGAAACCUUGAAAGAGUAUGAAGUAAAAGUCCAGCAACUGGAAAAAGACUUCUUUUAUUCUAGAGAAAACCAGCAGAGAGCUGAAGAAGAAAUUGAAGGGCUUUUUUGGAGAGUCACCCCAUCAACUAAUGGCACCUACUAAAUAAUGCCAGACUGCGUAUUAGAGCUGAUCUUCAUCUCUGCUCGGAAAAGCUUCACGGGCCAAAAGAGAAUGGAGAUGAGGAAGGCAAUGGAGAAUGAUGAGGACUAUUUGCAGUCAGCACCCGUAAGCUUUGUGAAAGAAUCAGGUGCAUUUCUGUAGUGGUAGAAAGCGUAGCUGGAAAGACUUCCUAAGGACGUCAAGUCCAAUUCCUUGUUCUCAGUUAGAGCAAUCCCGUAGUUUAGACUCCUGAUAAGGUAUUUGUCUGUAGGCAGCUGCCAACUUGUCCAGCUAAUCCAAUUCAGCCUGGAAAACAAGCAAGCAAGCAAGCAAGCAAAAAGCACAGAAACCUGCAGUUUAUGGAGUGCAACUGUCUCCUUUCCAAUCGCAUGGGUUUCACCAAGUUUGGGGUGACUCCAGGGCUGGCUUGCCAGGGAGACUUUCUUGAAUUGCUGGCAGAUCAGCCAGAAGGGCAAUACAAGGCCCUGGCUAAACACAAUCUGUAGGCUGCUUCUAGAUCAACAGUUUCCUUGGUUACUCCACAACCUCCACAAUCUCCACUUGCUUCGAAGCUCUGAAGAUUGCAAGUCCACUUUGUGUUUUUCAGCCCCUCUGUGUCAAACGCAACUUCUGCCUUGGCUCUUCCCAUCAAGCCAGAGCAGUUUCUUGGCCUGCGCAACCUGCAGACUGACCUCUCGUGUGUAUCCGUGCUGGACUGAGGGUAAUGUUUGGAACACACACUGAUGCUGUAUUCACUAGAACUUUGAGAAGAGAGAGCAAGAAGCUAACCUGCAGACGAGUUUCUUAGGUUUCUGUAGAGAGAGGGAGAUAUACAUGCAUACAUAUUUACUUCUGUCUUUACUUCUUUCAAGAUAGCUUUUGUUCUCCAAAAUGAAUCCUCUGACUGUUACUAAUGUAUGGGACACACCUUGACACUCUAAUGGCAUAGAAAUACUUUUCAGCUCAUCCUUGCUAUUGUUUCUGGAUUGAAAAAAUAAUUGUGAAUAUGAUUACCUGCUUGGAAUCUUUUUUUUUUUUUUUAAUAUAUACCUAUUCUAUUAUGAAAUCCUAUAGGAAGGAGUGAACUCAAGAGGAAAAAAAAAAAAAAGAAAACAAUUUUAAUUCCACUUCUAAAUUAGAUAUCUAAUCCUGAUAGAUUCACUCCCUUCCAAACAGAGCUCAACAAAUGAAACAGUAAAAAAUGCACAUAAUAUUUCUUCUAUGCCAAGAUUUCAUGGCACAAUAGUUCUUUGCCUAACCCUGCAAUAGCCCCAUAGGCAUUGCAAUUGCUUACUUGUUCUUCUUCUUUGCUUGUGUUUAGUGUUUGCUUUUCUAAUGUUACAACAUUGGAUUGAUUUCCCUCCUUAGGUAUCAAGAGAAGAAGGCAUUUGCUUCAGAGGACAGUACUUUGAUGCUUUCCAGGGCUAAUGGCCAAAGUUCUCCAAGCACUUUUUUUUUUUUUCUUUUUUUUUUUUUUCCCCAUCAGUGAUUUAUACAUUUGUCAAUCUUUCCAUCUUCAUUUACAACUCCGAAUUUAGGUUUUAGGUGAACAAGAACCCUGAAACCAGCUGAAGCCAUAUCAGACAUGAAGCCAUAUCAGACAUAGUAAGGACAUGUGUCUGUGAGGAAGUAAUUCCGAGUGAUUCUCUGGUGUCCUUUGGACAGCUUUCCUCUGGUCCUCUGCACUAGGCAUCCCCAAGGGAUAUUUCAAAGCUCUCGGCAUGAUCUGUCAUUCUCUCUUCCACUGGAGUUUCCAUUAGAAAAGCGUGACUAUUCCUUGCCCAUGUGGAAAAGAAGUCCUCCUUGAGUUGUUUCUAACCAAAACCUCUUUCUUGUGUUCUAUGGACAGAAACCACUUGGCUAGACAAACUCAAUCCUUGCAAAUGGAAGGAGUGGAAGUACUUCAGCAGCGUGCUUCGGCUUCUAAGCAGAACUGUAAUGUAGGUGGGGACAGAGCAAGAGGACAUGGCCAAGCCAGGGUGGACUUGAAAGUGCCGUGUCCGAGCCACAGCAAGAAAUCCGUGAUUGCCACUUGGAGACGGCUGCUCACCUAGUAGCACAGCAGCUGGAACGCUUCUGGAUCCUGCUGAUGGAUUGCCACGAAUCAGGCAGUGACACAAGCUACGAGAACGACGGAAGUGACUGGAAG